CACGAACCGUACGAACGUUAUUCGGAAUUACUGGGCUUAAAGGGUUUGUAGGCGGCCAUGUAAGUCAGGUGUGAAAUCCCUCGGCUCAACCGAGGAACGGCGCUUGAUACUGCAUGGCUUGAGGGAGACAGGGGUAAGCGGAACUGAUGGUGGAGCGGUGAAAUGCGUUGAUAUCAUCAGGAACACCGGUGGCGAAAGCGGCUUACUGGACCGACACUGACGCUGAGGCGCGAAAGCUAGGGGAGCAAACGGG
rnacentral:rRNA from 1 species